rnacentral:lncRNA from 1 species
CUAUUUUGCUAUUUGGAAGAUAAAUUUGUCACUUGUGUUUUUUUUUUGUUUGUUUGUUUUUUUUUUUGUCACUUGACACAAGCUAGUGUCACUAGGAAGACAUAAAAUGCUGAUUGGCCAUUUGCCAGGCAGGAAGUAUAGGCGGGGCUACCAGACUAGGAGAAAGCUGGAAAGAGGAAGUGGUCACCAGCCAGAUGCAGAGGAAACAAGAUGGGAAUGCCUUACUGAGAAAAGCAGUCUUUCUGGCUGGAGAGAUGGCUCAGCGUUUAAGAGCACUGGCUGCUCUUCCAGAGGAUCCGGAUUCAAUUCCCAGCAGCCCACAUUGACAGUUUACAACUGUCUGUAACUCCAGCUCCAGUCUUUCCUAAGCCAUGACAGGAGAAUAUAGCUAUGGGAUCAAACUGGCCAGGAGAAAAAUGAGAAUUCAAAGAUAAUAUCUUGAGUCAACUUCCUGUUGCCUUCUGAUCAAGAUGUAGCCCACACCAUGUCUGGUUGAACACCAUCAUGCUCCCCACCAUGAUGAUAAUGGACUGAACCUCUGAAACUACUCCCCAAGACAGAAGCAAGCUGGCGUGUAUCAAUGUGACAGGAGAGCAGACAGGGUUUCUCUGUGGCUUUGGAGCCUAUCCUGGAACUAGCUCUUGUAGACCAGGCUGGUCUUGAACUCACAGAGAUCCACCUGCCUCUGCCUCCCGAGUGCUGGGAUUAAAGGCGUGUGUCACCAAUGCCCGACUGCAUGUAGGAAUCUUACAAGCUCUCUGCAGCAUGGUAGAAGCACAAAGGAAUGUCUACCCACAAAUUGUUCAUACAAUUUUCCAG